rnacentral:lncRNA from 1 species
GGAUAACGGACAAGGAACUUCUUUCCUGAGGGAAGACUUAAGCGUUCUCUCCGUGUGAGUACUCCACCAGCCCAGAUGAAAGGAGGAAGAAGGGAUCCAGGAAGAAAGCUUGCAUAAAUAAUAAAUAAGUUAGCCCGUCCAACAACAGAAAGCUGACAGGACAAGAACAUGAACAAGCUUGAAUCCAUGCAGACCACUGGAAUCCAUGAGAGUAAGACCAAGACUUGCAUCUGCCUCUCACCACUUCCAACCUGUGACAGGGAACCUAGUGCUCUUCCCCAUGGAGCCACAUGUGCGCUUGGCCAAAAACUCAGAAAAGCUGAAGGAAAGAAAGUUGGCAAGCUCACUGCCAAAAAUAUAUCUGGAGAGCUCCCACCAACAGUCUAACUUAAGCUGUGCUAAAAUUGGAUGAUAUCCAUCCC